UCUACAGUACAACAUAUGGUGGAAGGAUAAUGUGAAACUGUCAAGGGACUGCAACUUCAGUUGACCACUAGUGCUCCCCAAAGUUUAAGAACACAGCUAAAAUAGAAACAUACUGAGAGAUACUUUUAUUCAAAGUACUUUUCCCUAUAUAGGAUUUGAAAGGAGACAGGCAGGAGCUGCAUGGCCACUUCCACUGUCAGAACAGGCAGAGGAGAGCAAGAUAACUGACACUGUGCUGGAAGAACCCAAAAGCCAUUGUAGAGGAGAUGGAAGAGCACAGGGAGAACAAGUUGUCCAAGGACACAGAAGAAGACUGGAGUAAAGACUGAAUGAAGAAACAAAUCAGCCCAAUAUGUGUGCCCUGGAUGAGGGACAGAUUUGCAAACAGAAAUGGGAGAAGUGGAAAAGUUCGGCAGAAUAAUUGUGGAAGAAGGCAAACGAUGAGCUGAAUCAGAAACAUAUGAGAGGAUCUGAGGUUUCUAAGGUUCCUCUCCCCAGGAGACCAUCUGAGCCAUUUAGAUGAGGAAAGCUCAAAUAAAGACAGAAUUUCUUCUGGUUGAAAAUAUUGCCAGAGAUUAGUCACACAGGUAUUGAAAUAUAAGUAAGUACUGAUAUAUAA